UGCUGGGUGAUGUCUAGUGGCAGAGCAGC
rnacentral:piRNA from 1 species